rnacentral:lncRNA from 1 species
CUCUAAAUUCUGCUGUCACUUAUAUUUAUCUUCUUCCUAGUAAUCUACACUCUCUUGCUCAUUUCCCAUCCGACUUAAUAAAAUACAGUGCUGAGUGUAUAUCAUUGCUUGAAUGGUAUUUUUUCAAUUUACGGAAAGAAGUAAUGACUCAUUUACAAAUUCUUUCUUCUCUCUUAUCAGGAGGCAGCAUUGUACUCCAGGGUAUCAUGCCGAGUGCUAUCGCCACUUUUGUAACAUUACCACAAUCAAUAGAGCAAUAGCCAGAUGCAGAAGGAAGAAAGAAGCUGACAAGAUUCAAGCAGGAUCAGAUCAAGCCCAUCAUGAUGAGCCACCUGACCCAGCCCCCAAGAGACUGCUUCGGUCCAACAUAAAUGUCAGUGAUGGUCAACAAUCAAAAGAUCGACAGUGUGAUCGAAAGCGUGUCCUCCCAGUGCAAUGCAUCAUCUGCAAACGCAUGAAAUACAUCAAAGAACAAUGUUCUGGUAAGAGAAAAGUAGAGAAAUUAGUUCAAUGUGAAACAAAACAUGGUGGGCAGUUACUUGCUGCUGCCGCCACUAUGAAGCAAGAUGAAGCAUUAUUACUGCACAUUAGGGACCAAGAUCUUGUAGCUAUUGAAGCAAGAUAUCACAAAUCAUGCUACCUUAGAUAUACUAAGGUUGUUGCGAAGUCUGUAGAAAUAAGCAAGCAAGAAUAUCAGCAACAAAUGUAUGAGAAGUCUGUAGAAAUAAGCAAGCAAGAAUAUCAGCAACAAAUGUAUGAGAAGUCGUACAUCAGUUUCUGCAAAAAAGUCAUUGAGGAGCGAAUCAUCCGAGGAAAGGAGAUCUUGAGACUUUCCAAGCUAAAUCAGCUGUUCAUCAAGGAGGUUCGAGAAAUAGAGAACACUGAUGCUUCAUCUUACAAGACAGGCCACUUGAAGGCAAGGUUGAAAAGAUCACAUCCUGUUUUGUGUUUUGCCAGACCAUCAAGACAAAUAGAAAGUGACAUUGUGUUUGUAGAAACCCUUGGCGUUGAAGAGGUGGUUGAAGACGCUGCUAAAGAGCUGUCCAGUGAAAAUGGUGAGUGUAGAUGAAAACCAACCAGAAGGGUCAUCAUCUCAUCACCUUAGAGAUAUGUUUCAUGCAGCCCAAAUCCUGCAAGAGAGCAUUAACAAUGCACCAAACCCUAUCCAAUGGCCUCCUACUGCUGCUGAUAUCACAAUUGAGAAGGCAAAGGAGAUAGUUCCCACAUAACUUUACAACUUUCUAGCAUGAACCACCAGAGCAAGCAGUAAGCCCAGAGAAUCUGGAAUAGUUAAUGUUCCUGAUGAAGUGCAUCACCGUCUACUGUUAGUUGCCAAGGAUAUGAUGUAUCUCAAAGCAAAAGUAAGAAUACUUCUACCCAAACAAACGUCUCUUGCCAUGGCGGUUAGACACCUGACCGGCUUGGCCAAAUUAAUUGGGCUGCUAAAUGGAUAUGGCCAUUGUGUGUCAAAUUCAGCCACCUUGGAACAUGAUACUGCCCUAGCAAAGAUACAGCUAGCACAGGGGCUCAGCAUACUUCCAGCUGGAACUCGGGAUAUCUAGUGUGGGCCAACAACGAUUUUGGGGAAGAAACAGUGAGUGGUAAGGGAAACACACACAACAUGAAUGGCAUACUUCUCUAGUGGUGUCCAUCUACCUCUGAAGCAUCACAGUCUGUACGCAUCCCAAGAGACAGGGAACGAUCUUUCCAACCACCAUCCCCCAACAUCAAGAAGUAUUAUGGGAGCAAACGAAUUGGACUGAAGUCAGAUGGAAAACACGUUGAUCUUCUGGAUAGACAUCAUCGACCAGUCCAAAGUUUGGCAAGAAAGCUUGAUCUGGCUCUGUGCGUGAUGAAAUUGGCAGAUCCAUCUGAUAGGGUCUUCCCUGUCUGGACAGGCUGCAAUACUCUCCGACAAAAGGAGGUUCCAGAGAUGUGUAGUAUUGCCGAUCUACCAAUUAUCGAUGCCAGUCCAACAGAGUAUGACACUGUGUACACCGUCCUCGAGAAGUUCCUUUAAAUAGCAGAUGCCUUCAAGCAAGAAGAGGUGGUUGUCGUGUUUGAUCAAGUUAUAUACUCCAAAGCCCAACAAAUCAGAUGGGGUAAUAAGAGAUUUUCUGAAUGGGUAAUUCUUCGUCUUGGUGCUUUCCACACUUCACUGGCCAUGUUAGCAUGUAUCGGAAAAAAGGUUUAGAGAUGCAGGUCUCGAGACCUUGGUGAUCGAAGCAGGUAUCAUUGCGCAAGGAUCUCUGGAUGGUGCAAUGAAUGGUCAUCACUGUAACCGAAGUAUUCGUAUGCACAAGUGUGUGGUGGAAGCAAUGGAACGCCUCCGCUGGCAAAGUUUUCUUGACUCGCUUGCAGAAGAGGAUAAACUUCAAGCACAAAGGUUAAUGACCCAACUGAAUGCAACAUUUCCAGAGGAGGCUUUCACAGAGCUUGUGUCCUCAGAUCUAUAUCAAAAUGUGACAACAAUGUAUGACAAGUUUGUCAAUGAUAAGUCAAAAAAUCUAACGUUUGCAGUUUGGUCUUCGCACAUUAAGAUGGUAGAAGUGGUGCUACUGUUCCUGAGAGCAACAAGAGAAGGGAACUGUAACUUGCAUCUCUUAGCUGUGAGAUCAUUUCUACCAUGGUUAUUUGCUUAUGAUCACGUGAACGAUGCAGGCUAUUUGCCAGCCUACCAGCUUGAAAUGUGUGACCUCCCUUCAUCUCAUCCUGCAGUUCACCAGGAGUUCAUGAAAGGCCAUUUCUCUGUUCAGAGGAAAGUUGAUCAUGGAUUUUCACAAGUUGCCUAUGAUCAAGCCAUCGAGCAGACCUGCAACCGAUGCACGAAAACAAAAGGAGGAAUGGUGGGAUUCACAACUCAAAAAGGAGCUGUUUCAAGAUGGAUAUUAUCCCAGCAAGAGAGAGCUGCCAUUUCCAGGAGAUGUGAAGAACUGGCAGGGAAAGAUGAGAGAUCAAGAGGUCAGAAGGACUUGCAGUCAUCACAAAUACAGAGAGAUGAAGAGGAUAUCUGCAAGGUGGUAACUGUCUUGGAGGCAAUGAUUAAUCCCUUCGAAGACAGCCAUGAUCAGUUAGUUCACAUAGCUUCUGGUGCUGUAGCAUCCAAGGUGGUAUCUGCAGAUUACAUGAAUGCAAUGGGAGAAGGGAGAUGCGGCAUUCAUCUCGUACUGCAAGGAACGUCUUCAGGGCAGUGAAGAUAUGUUCAAACCACUGAAGAAAGAGAAGACCAAGACCUUCCAGUCAAUGAACCAAAUCAACUCCAUCUCAAGUGAAAGGCAAGCAAGUGACAUUAAUGGCUGAUAGAAAUCUGUUCUAGCGAUUUGUGAUUAUUGGUAAUAUCCAGAAACUGGAUAUUGGUCACAUGCUAAAAUACAACUUAGGCCCACUUCUGCUCUCCCUUGCACAUCCAGAUGGGUCAGUAAACAAAACAGCAAAGUCUUCCUUGUUUCACGUCAUUGAAUCACAAGUACAGCCAUUUCCAGAAGUCAGCAUUCUGCCUGGAAACAUCUGGAUUAUCGAUGGCAUGGUUAUGGUGCAAAAACUAUCCCCAAGGAGUAUCCCUUCAACAUUUGGCAAGCUUGCGGAUUACCUUCUGAAGCAACUUGUUGAGUUGGCCCUCAGUGUUCCGAGUGUUGUCCACUUUGUUGUUUAUACAGGAAAGACAGCAUCAAGAAAGCUGAGAGGGGAAGAUGUUCAGUGGGUGGCAGCUUGCUAACAAAAAUCUACAGUGCAAAUCAGCAGGUACCUCACCAAUGGAAGUUUCUGGCAUGUGGCGAGAACAAAGCAGAGCACAUGAGGGUUUUUUUUUCCAGACUUGGAGGAAGAAACCAGCUGAAUGUUUGAAGAAAGUCAAGGUGUUCGUUGCUCAUGAUGGGGAGUGCCAUGAGUUUACAGACGAGAAUGAGCAAAUGAUUGUUUGCUCUGUGCCAGAACUUGAGUGUAACCAUGAAGAAGCAGAUACUCGUCUUUGCCUUCACUGCCAGUAUGCUGAUGGACAUCAGCCAUCAAGUUCAACAGAUAGGGCCCCAUACUCGGUCCUAAUUAAAAAUCCUGACACAGACGUCUUUGUGAUUGGAAUCACCAUGGCUGAGCAUAUUGGAGCAGAGGUAUUGUUCCACACUGGAAGAGGUAACAAUAGGAGGACCCUGAGUCUAUCAAAGAUAAGCUCACAUCUGGGACCAGAUAUCAGCAAAGCCUUGAUAUCACUCCACUGUUUCACACGUUGUGAUUCGGUCAGCUCUUUUCAUGGAAAGUCUAAACCCAAAGCCUUCAAGUUGUUUGCAAGUGACACUGCUUGCCAUGCUGUCUUUCAAGAGUUGGGGAGUUCAUUCACAGUGGGGGGGGGGGGGGGGGGGGGGGGGGGGGGGGGGGGGG